rnacentral:rRNA from 1 species
AGUGAACGCUGGCGGUAGGCCUAACACAUGCAAGUCGAACGGCAGCACAGUAAGAGCUUGCUCUUACGGGUGGCGAGUGGCGGACGGGUGAGGAAUACAUCGGAAUCUACUUUUUCGUGGGGGAUAACGUAGGGAAACUUACGCUAAUACCGCAUACGACCUACGGGUGAAAGCAGUGGAUCUUCGGACCUUGCGCGAUUGAAUUAGCCGAUGUCGGAUUAGCUAGUUGGCGGGGGAAAGGCCCACCAAGGCGACGAUCCGUAGCUGGUCUGAGAGGAUGAUCAGCCACACUGGAACUGAGACACGGUCCAGACUCCUACGGGAGGCAGCAGUGGGGAAUAUUGGACAAUGGGCGCAAGCCUGAUCCAGCCAUACCGCGUGGGUGAAGAAGGCCUUCGGGUUGUAAAGCCCUUUUGUUGGGAAAGAAAAGCAGCAGGUUAAUACCCCGCUGUUCUGACGGUACCCAAAGAAUAAGCACCGGCUAACUUCGUG